UUUCUUUUAUUCAUCUGCAAGGCUAUGAGAAAGAAAUAGCAGAGGUAGAAAAUAGUGGUAUUAGUGAAUAGAAGAGUGAAAGUGAAGAUAUGCUGCAAGGGAUUUCUUUUAUUCCUUGUGUGAUUGUCAUGAGUUCUUGUUCGUUCUACACAAUUGGAAGAUGUGCAACGAGGGAUUGCUAUGCUCGAAGGUGAUUUCUCAGAUUUUACAUUCUUAUUUUUAACCUGUCAAUGUCCAAGUGCUCUAAAAUCUUUUUUUUUUUCGUUUGUUUAACAUCAAAAUCUGGUUCUUUGCAUAAUUUGUGUCCCUUUUUUCCCCCCUAAACACUAAAUCUUAUCGAAUAUUUUCAGCAUCUUGCAAAUAGUUGUCGUUCCUUGUGUUGCUCUGUUACUUUAUGCAUGUUCAGUCACAUUCAACUUACAAAACGAAGCAGACAGAACAACUUUAUACCUUAUAUUUUGAUCCAUGUUUAGUUCUCUUAACCUCCUCUUCUUAUUAUUAUUUUUUUAAACUCUUUUUCCAAAAAAAUUUUAAACUAUUUAGGCAUUGCAGCAUAAUGUGUCCAGUUUCUAUGUAGUACUAUGAUGGAUUGUGAUGAUUUAUCCAUCUCCACCUCUUUUUUUGGGAACUUGGACUGAUGUUGUGGUUUUUUACAUCUUGGUUUGUUGUAUUUGCUUUUCCUUGGGAUGAUUUUUUCAAAAAAUGGCUGUUUAGUGUUUUUUGCUUGGUUUUCUCUUCUGUGCAUGCAAAGUUGUUUUCUUUAUUUUUUUUUUCUGCUUUGAUUUGUGGUUGUAGGCCUUGAAGAAUUGGUUAUUUAGUGAGUUAUAUACUCAUUUUCUUCUUUAAAUUUCGCUUUAAACUGGAAUGCAUUUUUCAGUUUCUCUCAUAAGCAGAAUAACAAAUAUAUGGUAAUAGGUGGCUGGCUUAAUCAGAUGUAUAAUUUGUAUACUAAAGAGCAGAAAUUAGCAUUGAAAUUUCUCUCUUUGAUUGUGUCGUGUUGAUCUCCUAAUCAUAUUAUUUUCAAGUACUUGCUUCUAUGAAAUGUUGAAGAACAAUUUAGAGAUGAGUUGAUUACAACUCGGAUACAAAUUACAUCUAAUUGAAUUAUAUCUAAUUGAAUUACAACUCGGUUUCAAAAUUAACUAAGGUUGUGAUUUGAUUGUUUGAUUUUCCUUGGGCCUAUAGUUACAUCAUUGUCUUAAUCUUCUCCAGCUUCUUUUUGUGUUUAGAUUUCCAAUUUCUUGGACUCUGGCUUCAGAACAAGUAGAUUGCUCCUAUAAUCCUUUUGUGUUCUCCAUGAGAAGAUCUUUGGUGGUUUGAAACGUUAGUGCAUUUUUUUCCCUUGGGAGAUUUUUUUUUAAAAAAACUGGUGGUUUAGUGCCUUUUGCUUGGUUUCCUCUUCUUUUUCUCGUUUUCGUGCAUGCAAAUUUAUUAUUAUUUUUUUUGUAAUGUUUUGUUUUGAUACUUUGGUGGUUCCAAGGCUUGAAGGAUUGGUCAUUUGUGAUUAAUUAGUGGAUUCCAUAAGAAAUAGGUUCUGAUUGAUGAGAAUCGAAUUUUCAUUGCAGUUUUGAAUUUUUUACCUCAAAUUUUUGGGUUUAAUUGCUUUUGGUGUUUGACAAUAUGAUAUAUGAAGGAAAUUUUGUGCUUGUUGUCUCUUGAUUUUGUAUAAAAUGGAAAUUCUUUGUGUGUCUAUUUUUCUAUUGAAGGAAUAGAAUUUGGAUUGUGAAAAAUGAUGUUCUUAAUGGUUGUCAUGGUCUUGUGCAUAUUUUACAUUGUGGUACUGAUAUUUUGCAAUGGAGUCAAGAGAUUAAUUUACAUUGUGGGGUAUAUUGGCUAUUCAUACUUAUGCGGUUUAUGAUUAUCCUUGUGAUUUUUUGCUACAGAAUGUUGAACUGGGUGACGAUGUGGUUGAGCAGCUAAGAAGAAGGAAUCUGUUAUGCUGUGUUAGGCAUUCAUGUAGUCUGAUUAGGAGUGUGACUCAAUGUUAAAUUGAUUAUUGUAAUCUUUUAAUUUGUUCAGCCUUUUUCUAGAGAAC
rnacentral:lncRNA from 1 species